UACGUAGGGCGCAAGCGUUGUCCGGAAUUAUUGGGCGUAAAGAGCUCGUAGGCGGUUUGUCGCGUCUGUCGUGAAAGCUUGGGGCUUAACCCCAAGUCUGCGGUGGAUACGGGCAGACUAGAGGCAGGUAGGGGAGAACGGAAUUCCCGGUGUAGCGGUGAAAUGCGCAGAUAUCGGGAGGAACACCGGUGGCGAAGGCAGAUCUCUGGGCCGUAACUGACGCUGAGGAGCGAAAGCAUGGGGAGCGAACAGG
rnacentral:rRNA from 1 species